AUUGAACGCUGGCGGCAUGCUUUACACAUGCAAGUCGAACGGUAACAGGCCGCAAGGUGCUGACGAGUGGCGAACGGGUGAGUAAUGCAUCGGAACGUGCCCAGUCGUGGGGGAUAACUACUCGAAAGAGUAGCUAAUACCGCAUACGAUCUAUGGAUGAAAGCGGGGGACCGUAAGGCCUCGCGCGAUUGGAGCGGCCGAUGUCAGAUUAGGUAGUUGGUGGGGUAAAGGCUCACCAAGCCAACGAUCUGUAGCUGGUCUGAGAGGACGACCAGCCACACUGGGACUGAGACACGGCCCAGACUCCUACGGGAGGCAGCAGUGGGGAAUUUUGGACAAUGGACGCAAGCCUGAUCCAGCAAUGCCGCGUGCAGGAAGAAGGCCUUCGGGUUGUAAACUGCUUUUGUACGGAACGAAACGGCUCUGGUUAAUACCCGGGGCUAAUGACGGUACCGUAAGAAUAAGCACCGGCUAACUACGUG
rnacentral:rRNA from 1 species